GGGGAUAUAGUUGGGAGAUGUAAUGAGUUGUGGGCAGUCACAUAACGUUCUUGAGAGAGAAACUGUGUGUUAAGAUAUUGUGAAAUAUUUUAUUCUGUAUAACUCUGGGUUGAUGACAACCUGUAUUUGUGUAUUGGGUCCUGGUGAUGACGAACGUAGAUGAUGUAUUCUGGGAGUUGGCGAAGAGUGAGUCUGGUGAAUGGCGGUGGUGAUAAUGGUGAACAGAGAAGAUGAUCAGUGAAUGAUCGUGACGAGGGUGUCAAUGAUUUUGGUGAACGGAGUUGAUCAGUGAAUGACCGUGACGAGGGGGUUAGUGAUUCUGGUGAACGACAGGGGUAUUAAUGGUAAACGACAACGGUGAUCAGUGAAUGAUCAUUAUGAGGUGUGAUGAUUCUAGUGAAUGAUAAUGGGGAAUGGUGAAGAUGAUCAGUGAAUGAUCAUGACAAAGGUGAUGAUGAGGGUGACUUAUGAUGAUGAAUUGUGAAAUGUGAUGAAUAGUGGAAGACAGACAUUUUAGUAUUAUUUUUUGGUUAAAAGAUUUUUACUCUAUUUAAUAUUGAUUCAUAGUUUAAUUUACAUGUGAUAUGUGUUACAUGCGUGAAAGUGCAAUAUGUAUUGGUUGGGAGGGAAGUGUUAUGUAAAUAAAUGUGUAUGAAUGA